AAUCAACGCUGGCGGCGUGCCUAACACAUGCAAGUCGGACGUGAAAGGGGUUUCGGCCCUGAGUAGCGUGGCGGACGGGUGAGUAACGCGUGGGCAACCUACCCAUAAGAGGGGGAUAACAGCUGGAAACGGCUGCUAAUACCGCAUAAGCUUACCGGGACACAUGUAUUGGUAAGUAAAGGAGGCUUAGGCUUUCGCUUAUGGAUGGGCCCGCGUCUGAUUAGCUAGUUGGUAGGGUAACGGCCUACCAAGGCGACGAUCAGUAGCCGGCCUGAGAGGGCGACCGGCCACGACUGGGACUGAGACACGGCCCAGACUCCUACGGGAGGCAGCAGUGGGGAAUAUUGCACAAUGGGCGAAAGCCUGAUGCAGCGACGCCGCGUGAGGGAUGACGGCCUCGGUUGUAACCGUACUUCUAGCAGGAAGAAGACGAAGUAGACGGUACCGUGCAGAGAAGACACCGGCGUAACUAACGUGCCAGCAGCCGCGGUAAAGUACACGUCG
rnacentral:rRNA from 1 species